rnacentral:RNase_P_RNA from 2 species
CAAGUAAGCUGGACAGCCGCGCGGACGGGGCGAAAGGCCCGCCUGUGAGGAAAGUCCGGGCUCCACAGGGCAAGGAUAACGGGUAACACCCGCCGGGGGCGACCCUAGGAAAAGUGCAACAGAGAUAAACCGCCUCGUCCCCCCAAAAGGGGCCGGCGCAAAAACUUGGUUUUUGCGCCGACGAGGUAAGGGUGGAAAGGCGGAGGUAAGAGCCCGCCCGACGGCGUGCCAAGCGUCCGUCGCUGUAAACUCUAUCCGGAGCAACGCCGUGGAGGGACACUUGGUCGGCCCGACCGUCCCAGGGAGGCGGCUGGAGCGUACCGGCAACGGUACGUCGAGAUAGAUGGCUGUCUUAAAUGACAGAACCCGGCUUACAGGCUUGCUUGCAGC